rnacentral:tmRNA from 1 species
GGGGGUGAUCGGUUUCGACUUGGGACGUCAGUCCCAGGGGAAGCGGGUCGAGGAUCCAGGGUCAACUCGUUGAUGCUCCCUGGAAAACACAAGUGCCAAUGCUAAGCGCACUGACUUCGCUCUCGCUGCCUGAGCAGUGAUCGAAGGGUCAGCCCGGGGCCGUCUCCGACCCGGAUCCUGGCCUCGACUAGGAGACUUGCUGACGACGUUGUGUCCCAGGACGUCGUCGGGACUUCACUGAGACUGGGCCCGUCCGCCACCUUGUCAGCGUGAGUGCGGGGGCCGAGAAAAUCAGUAGCUGACUGCACCCGGAGAAGCCCUGGUUCGGCGCUCGAGGACGCGGGUUCGAUUCCCGCCACCUCCACC